AUGCGGGGGUGGCUUUUAGUAUUAGCUGCACACUAGUUAUAUGUAGGUUGGAAAUUAUUACAAAAUUUCCAUCCUUACACUGCGUGUAAUUCCAGAUCCUUAAUAGCUUCAUGAAAUUUAUUUAAGACGUUAGUGGUCAGAAUACUCACUAAUUUCUGUAGACCAAACAAAUCAAGUAAAUCCGACUUUACAAGAUGCAAUUGAUUUUAAUUAGUUACCAUUUUGGAUUAGAAUAAAUACCGUGUGAAGAUAGUACUGACAAAAAAUAUAUCACAAUGUCUUUGUUGGUUGAGAGCAACAAUUUGCCAGUAUUUUGGUGUAAGCACAUCAAUAUCUUUGAACGCACUGGAUGCCCAUCUAAAGUAAUUACUUUAGAGAAUUUCAGAAAAGUCUACGAAAACAUUUCAAAUGACCGAAAAAUGAAGUUUCGGGAAAUAAAUGUCACCUUCAAAAUAUCAAAAGGUAUAAUUUUGCAUUACCAUUUGUGCUACUAAAUGUUACAGGCGAUUAUAGUAGACUAUCAACAUCUACGCAUCGUUAGAAACUAUUUACAUAUGAUUAAAUGCAAUUUUUAAUAUGUAUCUAACAAUCUCAAUCCCGACCUAUAAACCGAAUUCAAAACGACUUUCAGCUUAGUGACGAAAAGCCGGUGAAACUCGCUCAAAAACUCAACAGCAAACAAAUUUCAAAUAUUUAUCAACUGAUAUUUGUAUUCCAGGAGUAUGAUGUCCACGUAUUCUAAGCAUUGAACAUAUUAAGAAAAUAACUAAAUAUUAUCGAAUCGAAAGCUUUCUCAUAACAGAAGUAUAUUGAGAUAGUCCCCAAAAAAGCCAGUAAAUGCGAUGGCUUCUGUUGUACCGAAUUGGGAGCUCAAUGGUGAAAAGAGUAAGCAAA